rfam:Brachypodium distachyon strain Bd21 chromosome 2, whole genome shotgun sequence.
AUAGUUCUCCCUCCGUCCAACAAAAGAUGUCUCAAUUUUGACUAAAUUUGAAUGCAUCUAUACACUAAGACAUGUCUAGAUACAUCCAAAUUUUGACAAACUUGAGACAUCUUUUGUGAACGAAGGGAGUAUGUC